rnacentral:lncRNA from 1 species
GCAGCCGCCGCCGCUCCUGCAGCCGCUGCAGCCGCCGCCGCCUCCGCCUCCGCCCGCCCGCCGGCUCCGGGCGGCCCGAGGCUCCGGGACGCCGCGCGGCCGCCCCCAGCCCACCCAGCUGCCCGCCCGCUGCACGCGGCCCUCAGGCCUCCUUCCCUGAGCAGCCGCCGCCGCCGCGACUUUUUUUUUUGAACACGGCCCGCCCUGGCUGGCCGCCGCCAGUGCCCUGGAUCGCCGGCUCGCGCGGCCGCCGCCCGGCUUGGCCCAGUCCGGCGGCGGAUCGCUGCUGCAGCCGCCGCCGCUUUCUAUUUUUCCCCCUUUUUUUUUUCCUCCUUUACUUGAGCUGCGCGCGCGCGGCGG